GGCGGACGGGUGAGUAAUGCUUAGGAAUCUGCCUAUUAGUGGGGGACAACAUCUCGAAAGGGAUGCUAAUACCGCAUACGUCCUACGGGAGAAAGCAGGGGACCUUCGGGCCUUGCGCUAAUAGAUGAGCCUAAGUCGGAUUAGCUAGUUGGUGGGGUAAAGGCCUACCAAGGCGACGAUCUGUAGCGGGUCUGAGAGGAUGAUCCGCCACACUGGGACUGAGACACGGCCCAGACUCCUACGGGAGGCAGCAGUGGGGAAUAUUGGACAAUGGGGGGAACCCUGAUCCAGCCAUGCCGCGUGUGUGAAGAAGGCCUUUUGGUUGUAAAGCACUUUAAGCGAGGAGGAGGCUACUGGUAUUAAUACUACCGGAUAGUGGACGUUACUCGCAGAAUAAGCACCGGCUAACUCUGUGCCAGCAGCCGCGGUAAUACAGAGGGUGCGAGCGUUAAUCGGAUUUACUGGGCGUAAAGCGUGCGUAGGCGGCUUUUUAAGUCGGAUGUGAAAUCCCUGAGCUUAACUUAGGAAUUGCAUUCGAUACUGGGAGGCUAGAGUAUGGGAGAGGAUGGUAGAAUUCCAGGUGUAGCGGUGAAAUGCGUAGAGAUCUGGAGGAAUACCGAUGGCGAAGGCAGCCAUCUGGCCUAAUACUGACGCUGAGGUACGAAAGCAUGGGGAGCAAACAGGAUUAGAUACCCUGGUAGUCCAUGCCGUAAACGAUGUCUACUAGCCGUUGGGGCCUUUGAGGCUUUAGUGGCGCAGCUAACGCGAUAAGUAGACCGCCUGGGGAGUACGGUCGCAAGACUAAAACUCAAAUGAAUUGACGGGGGCCCGCACAAGCGGUGGAGCAUGUGGUUUAAUUCGAUGCAACGCGAAGAACCUUACCUGGUCUUGACAUACAGAGAACUUUCCAGAGAUGGAUUGGUGCCUUCGGGAACUCUGAUACAGGUGCUGCAUGGCUGUCGUCAGCUCGUGUCGUGAGAUGUUGGGUUAAGUCCCGCAACGAGCGCAACCCUUUUCCUUACUUGCCAUCGGGUCAUGCCGGGAACUUUAAGGAUACUGCCAGUGACAAACUGGAGGAAGGCGGGGACGACGUCAAGUCAUCAUGGCCCUUACGACCAGGGCUACACACGUGCUACAAUGGUCGGUACAAAGGGUUGCUACCUAGCGAUAGGAUGCUAAUCUCAAAAAGCCGAUCGUAGUCCGGAUUGGAGUCUGCAACUCGACUCCAUGAAGUCGGAAUCGCUAGUAAUCG
rnacentral:rRNA from 1 species